rnacentral:rRNA from 1 species
AUGUCUAAGCACAAGCCUAUUUGGGCAAAGCCGCGAAUGGCUCAUUACAACAGCCACUGUUCACUUGGUCUUGACUAUCCUACUUGGAUAACUGUGGUAAUUCUAGAGCUAAUACACGCUACCGGGCUCUGACCUGCGAAGGGACGAGCGCAUUUAUUAGAACAAAACCAAUCAGUUGUCGCUGUAACAGGUGUCAUCUGGCAUCUGGUGAAUCUGAAUAACCGAGCCGAUCGUACGGUCUUCGUACCGACGACGUAUCUUUCAAGUGUCUGCCUUAUCAACUGUCGAUGGUAGUUUCUGUGCCUACCAUGGUUGUAACGGGUAACGGAGAAUAAGGGUUCGACUCCGGAGAGGGAGCCUGAGAGACGGCUACCACAUCCAAGGAAGGCAGCAGGCGCGCAAAUUACCCACUCUCAGCACGAGGAGGUAGUGACGAAAAAUAACGAGCCGGUUCUCUAUGAGGCCCGGUAUCGGAAUGGGUACAACCCAAAACCUUUAACGAGGACCAAUGAGAGGGCAAGUCUGGUGCCAGCAGCCGCGGUAAUUCCAGCUCUCAAGGUGUAUAUCGCCAUUGCUGCGGUUAAAAAGCUCGUAGUUGGAUCUGCGCCGGCGGACGCGGUCCGCCCAAGUGGCGAGAACUGCGCUCCACGGCUUCAGUGCCGGUCUUCGGUCGGUGUCCUUCACCGGAUGCCGUCGCCGAGGCUGGCGAGUUUACUUUGAAAAAAUUAGAGUGCUCAAAACAGGCGUUUCGCCUGCAUACCGGUGCAUGGAAUAAUAGAACAGGACCUCGGUCCGUUUUGUUGGUUUCGGAACUGAGAUAAUGGUUAAGAGGGACUGACGGGGGCAUUCGUAUCGCUGCGUGAGAGGUGAAAUUCUUGGACCGUAGCGAGACGCCCUACUGCGAAAGCAUUUGCCAAGAAUGUCUUCAUUAAUCAAGAACGAAAGUCAGAGGUUCGAAGGCGAUCAGAUACCGCCCUAGUUCUGACCGUAAACGAUGCCAACUAGCGAUCCGCCGGCGGUAAAUCUGCCUCAGCGGGGAGCUUCCCGGAAACGAAAGUCUUCCGGUUCCGGGGGAAGUAUGGUUGCAAAGCUGAAACUUAAAGGAAUUGACGGAAGGGCACCACCAGGAGUGGAGCCUGCGGCUUAAUUUGACUCAACACGGGAAAACUCACCCGGCCCGGACACUGUAAGGAUUGACAGAUCGAGAGCUCUUUCUUGAUUCGGUGGUUGGUGGUGCAUGGCCGUUCUUAGUUGGUGGAGCGAUUUGUCUGGUUUAUUCCGAUAACGAACGAGACUCCGGCCUACUAAAUAGUGACGGGAUCCGCUCUCGUCCUGCUAACUUCUUAGAGGGAUUAACGGCUGGAAGCCGUAUGAAAAGGAGCAAUAACAGGUCUGUGAUGCCCUUAGAUGUUCGGGGCUGCACGCGCGCUACACUGGAGGAAUCAGCGUGCUCUUGCCAUUGUCGAAAGGCAUUGGUAAACCGAUGAAAAUCCUCCGUGAUCGGGAUCGGGAAUUGCAAUUAUUUCCCUUGAACGAGGAAUUCCCAGUAAAUGCGGGUCAUAAGCUCGCGUUGAUUACGUCCCUGCCCUUUGUACACACCGCCCGUCGCUGCCCGGGACUGAGCCGUUUCGAGAAAUCCGGGGACUGCGCCUGGUCGCCGUUUCGGCGGUGCGAGAACCGCAUUGAUCGCAGUGGCUUGAACCGGGC